GACGAACGCUGGCGGCGUGCCUAACACAUGCAAGUCGAACGGAGAAUUAGCAAUAAUUCUUAGUGGCGAACGGGUGAGUAACGCGUAGACAACCUACCCUUUAGAUGGGGACAACACCGCGAAAGUGGUGCUAAUACCGAAUAUUGCUUGAGAAGCGCAUGCUUUUCAAACUAAAGAUGGCCUCUAUAAAUAAGCUAUCGCUAAAGAAUGGGUCUGCGUCUGAUUAGCUAGUUGGUGAGAUAAAAGCUCACCAAGGCAACGAUCAGUAGCCGGUCUGAGAGGAUGAACGGCCACACUGGGACUGAGACACGGCCCAGACUCCUACGGGAGGCAGCAGUGGGGAAUCUUCCGCAAUGGACGAAAGUCUGACGGAGCAACGCCGCGUGAGUGAUGAAGGUUUUCGGAUCGUAAAACUCUGUUGUUAAGGACGAAUGUAUAGAUUGUGAAUAAUGGUUUAUAAUGACGGUACUUAACGAGGAAGCCACGGCUAACUACGUGCCAGCAGCCGCCGUAA
rnacentral:rRNA from 1 species